rnacentral:rRNA from 1 species
CGUAGGGGGCAAGCGUUGUCCGGAUUUACUGGGCGUAAAGCGCGUGUAGGCGGCCACGCAGGUCCGUUGUGAAAACUGGAGGCUCAACUUCCAGACGUCGACGGAAACCGUGUGGCUAGAGUCCGGAAGAGGAGAGUGGAAUUUCUGGUGUAGCGGUGAAAUGCGCAGAUAUCAGGAAGAACACCAAUGGCGAAGGCAGCUCUCUGGGACGGUACUGACGCUGAGACGCGAAAGCGUGGGGAGCGAACAGG